GGCACGGUGGCCAAGUGGUAAGGCGGAAGUCUGCAAAACUUCUAUCCGCGGGUUCGAUUCCCGCCCGUGCCU
rnacentral:tRNA from 1 species